GAUUUAUUAUUAUUUAAAUUAAAAGCUUUCUUUUGAAUUUUGUAUCUUUUGUUUUGUUCUAUUCAACUGCGGUCUUUUUUGUUUCCUUGUAUUGCGUGCCGACGACGUGCCAUUGCGCUUCCCGUGGUGAUUUAUGCGAAUACAAAGUGGACGCGGUGUAAUCAGCACAGCUGCGGCGGGUGUUUCGUCUUCAGUGGUGCGUGCGUUGCUUUAGUGCUACCAGAAAUAAAAUGAAAUUGUAAAAUUCUUCCUCUAAGAAAUUCGCAGGAAAAAUUUGCAUAAAAGAAAUUUUUUAUUGCCUGAUAUUGAAUUGGAAAUGGAAAUGUGGAAGAGCGUGUAGAGCGCGGAGCAAAGUGUAGAGUAACGAGCAAAAAUAAACUUUCAUAAAGUGUCGGAAAGCAUAGCAUAGCAUUCUUCGCUUAGCUAGUUGUCUGUUGGCUGCUAACUACAUGCGGCGUGAUUUUGUGGGAGAAAAUAGAAAACGUGCAAAGUUGCUUGCGGAAAAGCGGUUCAAAACAAAACGCCGCUAAAUUAAUGUAUUUUCAACCAUCAAACUGAUACCCGAAAAAAUCAAAUUAUUUUUAUAAACAAAAUUAUUUUUAUAAAAAAAUAAAAACGACGUAGAAGUUCAAAAAAAUAAGAAAAAAAUAUUUUCCACAGAAAAUUUUCCAGAGAUCAAAAAGCAAUGCAAACUGAAAAUUGCUAAGAUCAAGAGACUAAUGAAAAUCGUGAUCAUACAAAAAUUGAAGAAAAAAAGCACAAAGUGGUAAAAUAAUACAUAAUUACAUAUGUAUAUGCAACACAUCAAAUGCUGUGCAAAACUAGUUACACGCUAAUAAAGAGAGGAGAAACCUGUCAUAAGAAGACAAAAAAUACGACAAAGCACGACAUCAGCGACUCAUUAACAUACCGGAUUUUGCCAAAAAAAGAGAGGAGAAAUAUGAUUAAAAAGUAAAAAAAGUGAUAGAAGAUUUAAAGUAAUAAAAAUCAGAAAACACAAAAAUAGUAAGAAACCAGUUAAUAAGUUUCACUUUCUUUUGACGCUGCGCUGACGAGUAUCGAUUUAAUUUCUUGUGUUUUUUUUGAACAACUAAAAGUGAUUUCAUUUUCGAAAUGCCAAGGUGAAACGCAGAGCCAUUAACGAUCAUUCCUAACUUCCAACAUUACUUCCUGUGAACAAGUCUGACCUACAGCGUUCAAAUAAGAUAGAGCAAGAAGUGCUUGUAUUCUUCAAAUUUGUAGCUGUGCGCAAAUAUUUCCCAAAACAAUUAG